UGGUCAUAGUCUUCUUGUAAUAUAGGCAUAGAAAAGAGAUGGUAGUUCCUGAGGUGGAGUGCUGAAUGUAUGUAGGCUAUUAAAUGUUGAGAGGAAGCUGGGAUGCAUGUGUCAGUAAAGGAGUCUUUCUGGGACCAUAUGAACAACAAACAUGGACAGAGAUUUUUUUAUUAGCUCUCAUGCAAUCAAUGUAAUAAACCUCAUUUGGUAAUUUCAGGUUUGAACUGGUGCCCUGCAGCAUGCCAGCCAGCAAUACUAACCACUACAUCACUAGUGUGUGCAUCGCAGUACAUGGCAAUAUGGAGGCAAAUGUACUGAGCCUCAGCCAGACAGUACAGUCCUACAUCUAAAUCUACAUCUGUAACCUGCAAACCACUGUGAAGUGCACAUCAAGUGAUACUUCCCAUUCAAGUGCACCCAGACUCUCAGCAAAAGGAAAAAGGCAACCAGCCAAUAAGUAAAAAUCCACCCACAGACUAGAAGGAGCUGUCCAGGCGGAAUGAUUUCAGGUUACAUUUAAAACUUACUUUGAUGCCUGUCAAACAUUUAAUGUUACUGGAAAAAAGAUAAAAAAUUUUGCUCAUUGCAUAUUGAACUCCUUUCUGAGCCACUGGCAUAU